GUGAGGAAUAUUGCACAAUGGGCGAAAGCCUGAUGCAGCGACGCCGCGUGGGUGAAGAAGGUUUUCGGAUCGUAAAACCCUUUUCUGUGUGACGAGAACGGACGGUAGCACAGGAAUAAGUCUCGGCUAACUACGUGCCAGCAGCCGCGGUAAAACGUAGGAGACAAACGUUAUCCGGAGUUACUGGGCGUAAAGGGCGUGUAGGUGGUUUCGUAAGUCUGGCGUGAAAUUUCUCGGCUUAACCGAGGCAGGUCGUCGGAUACUGCGGAGCUAGAGGACGGUAGAGGCGUGUGGAAUUCCGGGUGUAGUGGUGAAAUGCGUAGAGAUCCGGAGGAACACCAGUGGCGAAGGCGACACGCUGGGCCGUACCUGACACUGAUGCGCGACAGCAUGGGGAGCAAACAGGAUUAGAUACCCUAGUAGUCC
rnacentral:rRNA from 1 species